GAAUUCAGUGAUCCUAUGCUGCCGAGAAAAGCCUCUAGUGAGUUCAUACACGGCCCGUACCCCAAACCGACACAGGUGAUCAGGUAGAGAAUACCAAGGCGAUCGAGAGAACUGUGGUUAAGGAACUCGGCAAAAUGCCCCCGUAACUUCGGGAGAAGGGGGACCAUGCCCGGUGAACAUCUUCACGGUGGGAGCUGGGUGUGGUCGCAGAGACCAGAGAGAAGCGACUGUUUACUAAAAACACAGGUCCGUGCGAAGACGUAAGUCGAUGUAUACGGACUGACGCCUGCCCGGUGCUGGAAGGUUAAGAGGACCGGUUAGCCGUAAGGCGAAGCUGAGAAUUUAAGCCCCAGUAAACGGCGGUGGUAACUAUAACCAUCCUAAGGUAGCGAAAUUCCUUGUCGGGUAAGUUCCGACCUGCACGAAUGGCGUAACGACUUCUCUGCUGUCUCGACCACAGACUCGGCGAACUUGCACUACGAGUAAAGAUGCUCGUUACGCGCGGCAGGACGAAAAGACCCCGGGACCUUUACUAUAGCUUGGUAUUGGCGUUCGAUUCGGUUUGUGUAGGAUAGGUGGGAGACUGUGAAGCAUGCACGCCAGUGUGUGUGGAGUCGUUGUUGAAAUACCACUCUGAUCGUAUUGGACGUCUAACCUCGGCCCAUGAUCUGGGUUAGGGACAGUGCCUGGUGGGUAGUUUAACUGGGGCGGUUGCCUCCUAAAGAGUAACGGAGGCGCCCAAAGGUUCCCUCAGCCUGGAUGGCAAUCAGGUGUUGAGUGCAAGUGCACAAGGGAGCUUGACUGUGAGACUGACACGUCGAGCAGGGACGAAAGUCGGGACUAGUGAUCCGGCACCGGCAAGUGGAAGCGGUGUCGCUCAACGGAUAAAAGGUACCCCGGGGAUAACAGGCUGAUCUUCCCCAAGAGUCCAUAUCGACGGGAUGGUUUGGCACCUCGAUGUCGGCUCGUCGCAUCCUGGGGCUGGAGUAGGUCCCAAGGGUUGGGCUGUUCGCCCAUUAAAGCGGCACGCGAGCUGGGUUUAGAACGUCGUGAGACAGUUCGGUCUCUAUCCGCCGCGCGCGUAAGAAACUUGAGGAAGGCUGUCCCUAGUACGAGAGGACCGGGACGGACGAACCUCUGGUGUGCCAGUUGUUCCACCAGGAGCAUGGCCGGUUAGCUACGUUCGGAAGGGAUAACCGCUGAAAGCAUCUAAGCGGGAAGCCUGUUCCAAGAUGAGGUUUCUCUCCACCUUGCGUGGUUAAGGCCCCCUACAGACCAUGGGGUUGAUAGGCCGGAACUGGAAGCGCAGCAAUGCGUGGAGGUGACCGGUACUAAUAGGCCAAGGGCUUCC
rnacentral:rRNA from 1 species